AUCUUUAUUCAUAAAAGUUGGGGUCUUACAGCAACUAAGAAUCAAGAAGGCACCAAGCCUCAGCAAUAUUUAGGUGUACCAUAUGAAAAUUAUAUGCUCAAAUCCGAAAAAAAUGCAUACAUGACACAUCACCUGAGGCAUCUGCCAUGCUCCUGAAACUUUCAAUCUAGAAGCCACAAAGACCUGCAAGUUAAUCAUAUAAAGGUUAUUGUUCUUCCUUGCUUAUAACUAAGAAUGGAUAACUAACUCCAUUGGAUUGCUAUUUCUUCACCGAUCUAACCUCUCAUAGACUAAAAUGAGGUCAUGAUGCCCAAACUCAAUCAGAACAUAAAAGUAAAUAUAAUGCACAUCUAAAAAUAAACUAUUAUCAACAACAUAAAACCAAGAUUUAGAAACAUAGUUACCCUAAAUUCAGAUAAUCAAGACCAACAAUUAAUGUGUAAUUUCCAGUUUUACAUGUCCAAGAAAAUCUUACAGUAGUAUAAUUCAAUUAAGACAAACCAUUCUAGAAGCAGAAAGACAAAAAGAAAUACUGAUGUGAGUACUAAAUGCUAUUGUUCCUGCACGUACAAAUACUUAUGUGAGUACUAAAUUUUUAUUUCUUCAAUUCAAGAACUUAUAUUAUGAGUAUGAGGAAAUGCAUGAUUUUGCUAAUGCAAUAGUACUAUUUAGUACCAUGUUAAUUUGAAUCAACAUGCUUUCAGAAUUUUAUCCCAUGGAGGGAGGCAUUAGAAAUAUUUGAGAGCGCGCUAAACAUUGCCAACCUUGGUAUCAGCUUGAUUUCGUGUUCCAUUAUCUAAGGCAUCUAAACCAAGUGGUUGAGCUUCACAUAUAAAUAAAUGUCUGAUGAGUAAUAAAGCUCGACGGAAAGAGGUGCAACAGGUCAUCUUUUGGCCAGGAGGGCUAUUAAUUUUCUUUGUAAUAGUUGAUUUUGUUUAUGUACUUUAAGUUCAGUAUAUGGUUUUAUUUCUGGGUGUAAAACUCUAUGUAAGACUUGGCUUUGCUAUAUUUAUAUAUGUUCAUGCAUAUUCUAAAAAAACCAUGACCCAAAGCAAAUCAAAAUUUUACACACCUUACACAAUCUUCAUAGCUGCCCAUAUCAAUUCUGUCUGGAGUGAUUGAUUCUGGAGAUUUGGUUGUCCAAUGGCUUUCUCUUCUUAUCCGUCGUUCAAACUGAAGUGGAACGACAUUUAGUUGAUAUCAUGCAGUACCUUCAGUAUUUUCCGCAACAAAUAUAGAAACAAGAUAUAUUCAAUUUCAAACAUCCUGAAUGUCGUGUACAUAAUUUUACUUGUGGUCUAAAUGAAAUAAACAAAUAUGCCCGAGAAAUUCAGUAAUUUACAGCUUGUACACCAUCUUUGCAACUAUAUUUGACAAUAAGGUUACAAUGUGUUUGGGAGCAUAGAUCAAGUUCUAAAAAUGGAGAAAAUUGGCUUAAAAGUUUCAAUUAUGGUGCCACCAUUAUUAAUUCUAGCACAUAUUCACACAUACCAUUAAUAACCAAAAUAUAAUAUUAAUCAAUUAAAAUAGACAGGAAAAGAAUUUGCAGGCCAAAGAGAUAUUGGAUCAAAUACUUAGCAUACUUUCAAGUAAAUGAAAAGGAAAAAUCACAAAAACAAAAAUAGAAAAAGAAAACAGGCUGAAAAUUAAAGGAGCUUUUACUGGCAUAAUGAUCUUCUCUGGUAUUAUUUGGUUUUCAGUUAUUUGAAAGGCCUCACGGCGUAUAUGUCACCGACUAAUUGCUAAGAGAAAGUAACUUGGAGUGACUACAAACACUCUUCAUCUUGCUGAUAUUUACAGAAAAACAAACUCCAUACAGUAGAAACUGAGAAAUGCCACCCUAAAGUACCUAACAAUGUCUUCAAUUACUACCCCUGUGGCAUUAAAAGAAAACAAGAAGAAAAGUAAUAUUUUUCAUUCUAAUUUUAAAUUUCCUGUCCUCACUAAUUUAAAUUUAUCCCAGCUUCUAAAUUAAUGCCAUCAAACAAGUCUAAAUGCAUGAAGUCAGAUUCUAUAGUAUUUACCAUUUCCAUGUUGCAUAUUCUAAAUAAAACCCAAAAACUAUUAAAAUAUUUUAACAACAUUUUAUAUAGCUAUCAAAUACCAAAAAAAGGCUAAAUGCAUGACAUCAGAUUCUAUAGUAAAAACCAUUUCCAUAUUGCAUAUUCUAAAUAAAACUCAAAAACUAUUAAAACAUUUUAACAACAUUUCAUAUAGCUAUCAAAUACCUUCUUAUUAAAUUAAUUUCCCAGGAAAAAAAUCACAGAUAGGAUGGAAAGACAAAAUAAUAAGUCUACAAGUUUAAUCUAACAAAUGUAAGGCUAAUAAGAGGGCUGAUUAGUCUUAUGCUCAAAUAUAUAAAUUACCCAAAAUAUUAUUAACAAAAAUAUUAUUAACCAUUAGCAGGGUUUUUUUCCCAACUUACAUCCGUGACAUAUACGCCGUGAGGCCUUCUCUGGUAAAAGGAGUUGCAUUAUUAUUAUGGGCAUGAAUGUGGUGCUUGAAGCUUAUUGUGGUAACUCAAUCUCAAAGAACUAGCAGCACCAGGAGUGGGUUUAAAAAUCAUUAUAGUGUGUUGCAAUAUCUAUUUUAGAAGUGGAUCACAAUCCAAGCUAUAUUUGAUUUUAUGUCACCAAAACGAGAGGAUGUGAUUUGAUUUUAUUCGAAGUGACCAAAUUUGAUUAUAAGAACUGCUUUGAGCAGCAAAAGGAUACAGUAAUAUAAGUACUCCCUCCAUUCCACAAAAAAAUUCCAGUUUGCACAAAAGAAAAAUUCUACAAAAAGAGUUCCAUUUUAUUAAUAGUAGUAUAAAAUGACAAGACGACCUCAAGUCUGUCAUCAUGAUUUCAUUAUCACGCCACUACUACUUAGCUAACAAUUUUUUUAUUUUAGGAGUAAACAUGAAACAAAUGUACAUCCUUAACAUUUGCAAAUGGAAGUCUUUUUGUGAAACGGAUGGAGUAUAAUACAGAUCAUGUGCCUAGCUAGCAAGUAGCCUGCUGUUAGUGUUUGAGAACUAGCAAGAGAAUCGUCUCUAUUUCUUCAAAACAGAGACUGAAUUCAUAUAGCAUAUGUAUCUAUAUACCACAAUUGAAGUGAUUUUCAUUAUAAAUGCAACACUUUUCACUUUAAGAUACAAAGAUACACUCCUCAACAUGGAGUACAAAACUAAAAAAAAAAAGUAAAUUAACCGGCACAAAAAUCACAGCCAAGUAGAUUAGGCACAAUAAUGGAAAGAAGAGUAAAGCAGAGAAUGCACCUGAUCAAAGGCGAAAUCAAAUACAUGGCGGAGAUGAGAGUAACUGGUAAGCAAGAUUUAAUCCCUGUAAAGCCUGUAAAGCUGAGUACACAAAUCCGAUCACGUUCACUGUCAAACAUUACCUGCCCAAUUUAUCCUAACACUCAAAGUCACCUACAAAUUAAUGCACAAAUAUAGAGAGUGGAAAAGAGAAGAGAUUAAUUAACCUGAAUUCAAUGUACUGGUCGAAGAAAUCAAGAGCCCAGCCCUUUCUCCGGUCAGCAGCCAUCACUGAGAAAAAAUCAAACAGAACACAAAUCUAAAAACCCUAAACUCUAACGUCGCCUUCUUCACCGCGAUCCUCCUCCUCAUCUAUUCAGCAAACAUUAAGAAGAAGAAGAAGAUUAGAUCUAGUUCUAGAUAUCUUUUUGAUUUAUUGCAAAAGAUAAAAGUCUAUAACUAGAAUAAAAAAAUAAUUAAUUUUAAAAUAAAGUUUAUUAAUAAAUGAAUGUUAAUUUUAUUAUUUUUAAUAAAUAUAAUGAUUAAUGUUUUAAAUUAUAAUUUGAGUAAGUUUUUAUCAUUUUUGAAAUAUUAAAUUUUAAAAUGAAUACUUUAAUUACAACUAUAGCUAGAAUAAGAAAAAAAUAAUGAGUUUUAAAAUAUAAUAUUAAUGAGUGAAUGUUAAUUUGUUUAUUUUUAAUAAAUACAAUAAUCAAUCAUCUAAAUUACAAUUCAAAUAACUUUUCAUCAUUUUUGAAAUUAUAAAUUUUAAUUUUAAAAUGAAUACUCUAAUUACAAUUAUAAAUAGAAUAAGAAAAAAACUAAUGAAUUUUACAUUAAUUCUAAAUUAAUUCGAACCUAAUACAUUUUAAUAAUAAAAUUAUACUCCCUCCGUCUCAUAGUUAUAGGCUGAUUUCUUUUGGCACAUAGUUUAAGAAAAUCAGUUUAAGUGAUAAUUUUUAACAGAAUUUUCCACAUAUACCCCUUAAUAUGGAAUUAAUGAAUAAAUUAAUUACUCCUUACUUAUCACAUUGGAACUCUUAACUUCAUUGAUUGUUGGUACAAUUGUCUUUUAUACACAAAAUAUGUUAAACUAGUAAAGCCUAAAAAGUUGAAUUCUUUUAUUGAGAAUACAACAUUAAAUGUGGUGAUAAAAAUAAUGACAUUGAAGGCUGUUUCUUCGAAAAAAGAGUAAUGGUUGAAUAUUUAUUAUAAGGGCAUAAAAGUAAAAUAAUGAACCAACUAAAUUUUAUAAAUAGUAAAUAGCCUAUAUAUUGGGACAUCUCAAAAUAGAAAAUCAGCCUAUAAUUAUGGGACGGAAGGAGUAAUAUCCAUUGUUAUUGCCUCCUGUUAUCGCAAGUAAAUUUUGAAAGUACAAAAUUUGUAACAAGCUAAUACCUAUAUAUAUAUAUAAUUAAUUUAUAUAUAUGUGACUUAUUAAUUAUUGAAUAUUAGUUAUUAAUAUAUAUGUAUAUAUACAUAUAUAUAUAUAUAUAUAUAAUUCAAAAGUUUACAUUGAAUAUUUAAAUAUUUUUUUUCAAAAUUAUAUUGUCUAUUUCUCCCGCCUCUUGACAUCGCAAUUAAGUUUUUUAAGUAAAAAAAUUAUAACAAGUUAAUAAUUAUAGUUUGGUAAGUUAAUAUAUAGAGCAAUAUGGUCAUACACAGCUGUGUAUAAUUUAUUUGUGCAUAGUCUGCCAAAACUAUGUCGUUUUGACAGAUUUUUUUUUUAUUUAUUAAAAAAACAGCUUCUCUCCUCCCAAAUCAUAAAUCAAAAACAAAUAUGCCAAAAUGAUGCAGUUUUAAAAGACUGCGCACAAAUAGAAUAUACACGGCUAUAUAUAUAUGGGCCCCCAUUCUUGGCAAUCGGUUGUCACGGGUACUAUUUCAACAACUAUAAUUUAUACCGUUGAUCGCAACAUUGGAUAGCACGGAUUGAAAUGAAUUUUCCGUACUGCUACAGGCUGUAGUGACAUGAAAAAUUACUCAUUUGCCCCUCAUUUGCUCAUGUGCUACACUGUCUACCGCUACAAGUUAUGACGGUAGUUUAGUUAACUAAUAAAUUAGAAUGGCUCAGUGGUAGCUUAAUGGCCCAAUAACCCAUAGGUCUUAGGUUCAAAACCUAGCUGUGAUAUUUUUGCUUCUUAUGUUAUAUUUUUAUGUAUUAGAUAAAUUCUAUUACCAUCUAUAUAUAUACCUAUCUUAAAUCUCCAUAUUAAACUAAAUAUAUAUAAAGUAACUAUGAAUACUUAUAUAACGUAACUAUAAACAAAUAUUUAUUUAUAAAUUUAUAAAUAUUUCAUCUAAACUUUAGAUAUGAAUAUUUUUUAUAAAUAUUUAUAUGAAUAUUUGUUUACAUAUAUAUAUAUAUAUAUAUUUAUAAAUAAAAAUAUUCAUAGUUACUUUAUAUAUAUUUAGUUUAAUGUUGAGAUUUGUUUAGUAUUUUAUUUAGUUUGACAAGAAAUUUUGAAAAGAAUAUGUAUGUAUGUAUGUAUGUAUGUAUAUACAUAUAUACAUAUCAGUAGAAUAAAUUUAAAAAUAUUAGAGACUACAAGUUAUGGCAUUAAUUUAAUUAACUAAUAAAUUAGAAUGGCUCAAUGGUAGCAUAAUGACCCAAUAACCCAUAGAUCUCAGGUUCAAAACCUAGCUGUGAUAUUUUUGUUUCUUAUGUUAUAAUUUUUGUGUAUUAGAUAAAUUAUAUUACCAUAUAUAUAUAUAUAUAUAUAUAUAUAUAUCCAUCUUAAAUCUCCACAUUAAAUUAAAUAUAUAUAAAGUAACUACGAAUAUUUUAAUAUAUAUAUAUAUAUUUAUAAAUUUAUCUUUAAAUAUUCAUAUAAAUAUUUAUAAACAAAUAUUCAUAUAAAUAUUUAUGCAUGAAAUACAAAUAUAUUAUCUUAUAAUAAUAACACACUAAUUUGUCAUUUUAUUCUGUGAUAUAUAAGAUCGUUAGUAUGGAAAGACAUGUUUGACUUCUUCUUUUUUUCCUUUUUUCCACAAAUGCUAAUUAUUAUAUCAAUUUUUUUUUACAAAAUAAAAAAACAGCAGAUUUUCGAGAAACAAUAGCAUUAAUUAUUCCUUAUUUUAAAAUGUCCAAUAUUAAAAAACUAAUUAAUUAACUUGGCUAUUAAUUUACGUGAUAAUCUUCUAUAUAUUGAUCAUUUAUGAUCAUCGAUAUGUCAUUUAAUUAUUUCAUUACCAAUUUCCAUCAAAAAAGUGUUCGAUCGCCCAUUAAUUAUUUGCUGCAAAAGAAGAAGAUAAUUGAAAAGAAUAACUUAUACUAUAUUCCAAGGAAAAAUAAAUAAAUUAAAGAACAGGUAAGAUAAAUAUCAUAAUUUUGUAAGUAUUUGACAUAUAUAAGCAGAAAUUAUAGUGUUAUUAUUAUUAUUAUUAUUAUUAUUAUUAUUAUUAUUAUUAUUAUUAUUAUUAUUAUUGUUAUUGUUAUUGUUAUUGUUAUUUGUUAACGCCAAGUUUAGUCGGCGCGUCCAAUCACAGAAUCCACGCGCUAGAACCUGCACAAUAACAGAUCACAUAGAAGCUUGAUGGCUUGUGCCGCCGGGGGAUAGCUCCGGUGUGAGAAUGAGUACAAGCCGUUCACAAGGUUUAAUAAUGGAAGCUAAGUGUUUAGUGCUCAAAAGUAGGUAUUACCUGUUAAUUGUAACCUUGGUCUUGUAUUUAUAGUACUCACCACCUUAGAAUCCUUCUCCGAUUCGGAUUAGGACUCCUAGUCAUGGUAGUUACCAUAACUGGGUCCAACACGAUCUCCUUAAAAGGUGCAAGUGGAAUCCAAUCCAAUCACUACCUUUGGAGUUACCUUAUUCAAUUAUGAUUAGGACUCCAGGCUUUGUGUGCAGGAAAACCCACUGCACAGGCUCAACCCAACCGAACUCCCCAUCGGGUCUGGGCCUCGGCCCAAAGGACUCGAAGACCCAACCCUGAACAUCUUACACCGAGGUAAGGAUCCGGCCCAAAGGACUCGGAUGCCGAACUCGAACACCAUCAACUCGCCGAUGGGCUUCGGCCCGAUGGGCUCACAAACCCCUUCCAGUGUCAGGCUUUCGGCCCACUUGAAGGUCGGUAAAAUGAUCCCGAACAUUUCCCCCCAGUCUCUUGUUAUAAUGUACUUAUAAUUAGAGACUUGAAAGGUCAGGUAUUCAAAAGGUCACGACAGCUAAUGAUGAGUUGUCUGGGGAAGCCAAGCGGUCUGUCCUCGUUUCUUGAAAUGUUGCACAUCUUUCCAUGUCGGCUCCCACCUUGGGCAUUUAAUAAUCGCCCUUGGGUAGCGUGUGACCACACCUAUAAAAACCCCCUUCUAUCAAUCACUAUCACUUUUCCCAGCCUUUUUCAAUUCAAAAUCUCUUUCAAACUUUCCGGCGAGAGCGAUUUCCGGUGAGUAUUCCGUUCUUUAUUUCUCUCUAAUUUUGAUCUCAUUCCUGUUAGCAUUUCCUGCAAUGGCUGAUUCUACCACUGAACAAACUACAAACAUCCCUGACACCACGACUCCUACCCCCAUUCUGACCACCGAUCUAGUCCCGGUGGACCUGCCGGCACCACCACCUGACGCCCCCACCUCCUCCAUCUUCUCCCCUCCGAUUAGCCCCGAAGCCAAAAUCUGAAAUGCUUAUCACUUUGAGACGGAGUUUUCCCACAUCAACACCCAAUCUACCGUUCUCCCUUCUCAAAUAUCAAAGAUCCGAAACUUGUUCAACAUUCCAAGGGAGUACAAACUUCGGGUACCCACACCAGAUGAGAGGAUGUUCUGGAGACCCAAAGGUGAGUGGGCCGUCGUACCCCUAUAUCUAUUGAGAUACGGGGUUCGGUUUCCUCUCCAUGACUUCAUCUCAACUUUCCUCAGCUUUGUGGGGAUCAGGUUCGCACAACUUGUGCCGAACUCGUAUAUCCAGUUGAUUUCUUUCAUCGCCGUGUCACAAGAUCGGGAUCACCCCCAGUCUUGACUUCUUUUUUGCCUUAUUACCGUUGGUCGAUCCAAAGAGCCCGGCCUUCGGCAACUAUCUAGACAACCAAGCCGAACUGUCCCCAUCAAGACUCCCUCGAGCAACAAGGGCUGGCACCCCCAAUGGAUCUUCGUGAAAGGGACCGACCUCAAACUCCUCCCGAACUGGGCCCACCCCGAAGAUCCUAUCGCCAAAGUGUCCAAAUUCCCAAAGGACCGGGCUGGUGCCUUCAAAGAGUUCUACAAGAAAUGGAGCAAGACCGAGUGGAACUUGAGGGUCUUGUCCAACGAAAGCUAGUUGUACCAACACGGGCGUAAGUGUCCUACUCCGAACCCUAACUUUGGUUAUAUCUCGGUCAUUUUAUACUAAUUAAUUUUCUAACCCCCUCUUUGUUAUGCAGUGACGAUUUUCAAGCCCGAAGGGGCGGCUGAAUCCUUAACUCCUCUUCCCAUUACCAUCGAGCCGAUUCGCCUCCCGAUCACCGAUGAGAUGGCUGAGGAAGAAACCAUUUCGAUCGCUGAGCUUUUAACUGGUUCUACUUCGGGCCCUGCUCCUCCAACUUCUACUGCCGAGCCCACUGUUAAAGCCGUUCUGAAAAUGAGUCGGGCUGAGAAAAUGUCGCAGUUUAAGAAGACGAAGAAGCCUUCCAAGCCAUCGAUAAAGCUUCCGAUCAAAACCCCCCUUGCAGUGAUACCGAAAUCGAUUCCCCCCCCACAAAUGGAGGUGAUCGAGGACUCGGAAGAGACUGAAGAUGAACCUUUGUCGAAAAAGCCACGCGUGGCUGAAGUUCCCGAGCAACCGGUUGUGGAGGCCGAACCCUUUCCUACUCCAACUCCCACCUCUCAACCGAGCUCUUCCCAAGGGACGCCAAACACUUGUUGGCCUAAGGGCCCUUCGGAAGUGUUUCCCUUCACCCUCUUCGAUCACUUCAAAUUGUCGGGUGAUGACGAGCGGUUCAAGGGUUUCUCCUCCGAAGAGUACCUGGUCGCCUAUGUUCGCGCCCAGUGCCAGGUAAUUCUGAGUUUUAAUUUGCUCUUGUAGACUUAUAAUUUGGUUUUCCUAGCUGAUGUAUGCCUUAUAUGUAGGCCAACGCGAUUCUUUCCUGAGCCAUCCCUCCCCUCACCCGAACCACGAAGAAGGAAGUCCAGUAGAGGGUGGAUGUACAACUGCUCGAAGCUGAAGUUGGUGGUCUACGCUUGGACCUGAAAAAGGAGCGGGAUCGCCAUGCUGAGACCCAAAAAAAGGCGACCCGAGCUGAACGUCAUGCUGAGGAGCUCAAGGCCCAAUAUGCAUUGCUUCAGCAAGAGUUCGUCAGCCUCGAAGGUUAUUCCAAGAGACUUCUGGAGGAGAGGGAUCAUAUAUCUGUGGAGGUCAAGGAUCGGGAGAAAGCUGUUGACGCCAUCACCGAGAAGUUCUCCGAGAUGCAUGACAAAAUGAUGCAAGUGAUCAGAGAAAACAAUGCCUUAACUGCUACCGUCAACGCUUUUCUCGAAAAAAUCUCCGAGGCCCAGCAGCAAGCCAUCGCCGAAUACGAGGAGUCGGAUGUCUUGAAUGAUAAGGUCAUGGCCCAGUUUGGUGAAGGAUAUGAAGCUUAUCGUGAAACGGCUCGGGCAAAAUUGGCAGCUGCUGGGUUCGAUACCUCCCUCCUCGAUUCGUCUGAUGAAGAAUCCGAGGUCGGGGAUGACCCUCCUCCCAAAUAGCUUUUGUUAGGACUUGUAUUUUUGUGCCUUUCAUCUUCUUUCUUUAUUUGUACCUUACCCGAAUCUUAUACGAUCGGGGUUUGUAAAAAUUUGAAGAUAUGAAAUAUAAAAAGUUUUGUUUGUAAAUUUUUGUUGUCAGUUAUACUUGUGACUUAUCUCAACCAGUUGUGUCUUUCCGAACCUUCUGAUCAGAUUGUGCCCAAAGUUUGUCUGACUCUAGAAUUGCAGUCUCGAUCCGUUAUACCCACGACUUUUAUCAAUCAGUUAUGUCGUCUUCGACUUUCUGAUCUGUUUAAGCCCGAUGUUUGUCUGAUCAGACACCGAAAAUCGUAUGAAUAUAUAUGAAGUUAAACAUCUCCGAAGGAAGCUUUCAUUUAUUUCAUUUAAAACUGAAACGGUUACAUGGAUAAAGAAAAGAAUGACAUAACUAUUACUAGUAAAAUUUUCUAAGUCUUCCAGGAUGCCAUGUAUUCUUUACUUUUGAACCAUUCAUUGCUCGAAGCCGGUAUAUACCUGGCUUCGGCACUUCUACUACUUCUUAGGGGCCCUCCCAGUUAGGCAUCAGCUUGCUAGUGUUCUGGGGGGUUGAUGCCUCCGACUCUCGGAGGACCAAGUCUCUAACUUCAAACCUCCUCAGCUUCACCUUCUGAUUGUAGUGUCAGGUUGUUCUCUGCUGGUAGAUAGCCAACCUCAUUAUAGCUGAAUCCCAAACUUCUUCUAGCAUAUCCAAAUUUGUUUUCAAACCUUCAUCAUUGUAUAGUUCUUUGUACUGACUGACUCGAAGAGUAGGGGACCCGAUCUCAACUGGUAUGAGUGCAUCGGUCCCGUAUGCCAGUCGAAACAGAGAGUCCCCAGUUGUUAUCCUCGGAGUAGUCCGAUAUGCCCACAAAACACUGAGUAGCUCUUCGGGCCACCGACCCUUUAAUUCAUCCAACCUUCUUUUGAUCCCGUUGAACAAGGUUCAGUUGGUUACUUCUACUUGACCAUUCGAUUGAGGGUGAGCGACUGAAGUCUUGCGAUGCUGAAUUCCCAACUCCUUCAAAAAGCCUUCGAACUUAGACCCCACAAAUUGUCUGCCAUUAUCAGAGACCACUGCCAUCGGAAUACCGAAACGAUAAACGACUCUUUCCUUGAAAAAUUUCAGGCAUUCUUGUUCGGUGAUCUUCUGCAGUGGCUUGGCUUCGACCCACUUCAUCAUAUAGUCGAUAUCCACGAUCACAAAACUAACUUGUCCCUUGGCCUUCUGAUAAGUGGAUUUUAUAUACGCGAUUCAAUAUCCAUUUCAUGCUUAUUUUUUGCUAAAUUCUUGUGAUCAUGUUCCUUUUUACUUGUUUUAUGUUAUUUCUUGUGUAGGAUGGUUGUUGAGGCAUUUUAUGGAUAUGUGGAAUCAAUUGGGAUGAUUUGAGGUCAAUUAGAGCAAAAUUGGAAUAUAACAUGAAAAUUAGUUACGUCAUCUGGCAGAACACAAGCCCGCCGGGGCGGGCCAAUUUAUACUAUACACCCCCGCCGAGGCGAGGGGUCAUACUUUCCAGUUAGCAGUAAGGAAGCCCGCCGGGGCGGGUAUCGUUUGCCUUUAUACCCCCUCCGGGUUAGGGGGUCUUCAUUCGAGCUAGACAGAAAGGGAGCUCGCCGGGGCGGGGGGUGGAAAUUAUGGAUAUGUCCUGCGUUGAUUAAACUUCUUAUUGGGCAUGGUUUCUAGCAAUUGCAUGAUAAUGGAACUCUAAUUGAAGGGAAUUUCAGCUGGAGCUUGUGUUCUAGAUAUCUACGACUCUAUCAAACACAAAAAGAAAGAUACAACAAGACAUAUUACGAAGAUCUAAGCUCAGUUUUUGAUAGCAAGCUUUGGAGGAGUAUUUCGAAUGGAUUUUCAAGACAAUUGCGAUUCUAGGCUACGUGAAGGGUGUUUUUCAAUAUUCUUCGUCUUAGGCUAUUAUUUGUAAUUGAAAGAAUGAUUUCUUUGAUUUAUUCGGGGUUUAUUUCGUUUAGUAUGAACUAAUUCACUUUUUAGGCUUAUGGUGGAUCUUUAAGUGAAACGAUGAUUUUGUAAACUUUAAUUUUCGAUUUCAAUAGUAUAUUUCCAAUUUAUCUAUAUUGAUUUGAGCUUGAAUUUAUGAAUUGCCUGAUCAACAAUUCUUGGUGGAAUUGGAUGGAAUCGAGAGAGGAUAUUCAAUUCUAGACCUAAUUAAUAUAACAUGUGUUCAUGAUUUUGUGAAUAGCUUAAUCUUGAUGAAUGUUAAGGUAGAGAUAUGCUUGACAUCGCAUGUAAUCAGAUAGAGAACUUAUUCUUAAACCUUCUUCAAUUGUAAUUCACAUAUAGAUAUAGUGGGUUAGUUGACUAAGGUGUUUAACAGAUUUCUAUCUUAAUUGUGGAUUGACGUUAAUACGAUAUUAGUGCAUCGAGAGGUGGUUAAUACUACAUUUGUGUUCUUGAUUAAUAAACUGGGAUAGUGCAUUGAAUUGGAAUAAAGGUGUUAAAAUCAGAGUGAAGCUUAGGGUAAAAUCAUAAGUCUAAUUCUCCAUUAAUUGUUUGAAAUUCUAGAUUUUGAUAUUUGUGAGUAUUCUGUGUUAGUUUAAUUAUUUUUUUAAUUUAGAUUCUUUAAUUUCAAUUAUUGAGUUGACUUGUUUAAUAAAAUUAGGGUUAAUAGGAAAUUGGUAAUUGUAAGUUAAGGUUAUUGCUAGUUAGUCUCUGUGGGAACGAUACUCUACUUAUCACUCUAUUACUUGUUGACCACGUAUACUUGCGAGUUGUGCGUAUAUAGAUUUUACCCAACACCUUCGGUAGAGGCCCUAGGAUGUCGAUUCCCCAUACAACAAAGAGAAUCAGGGAUAAGACCGAAUACAGCUCUUCGGGAUGCUGAUGUGGAGUAGUGUUGUUCAGCUGACACUUGGGACAUCUUCUGACAAAUUCUUUGGCCUCCGUGUAGAUAGUCGGCCAGUAAUAACCUUGCCUCAAAAUCUUAUGCGCCAGUGACUUGGCCCUCAUGUGGUCCCCACAGAUCCCUUCAUGUACUUCCCGAAGUGUGUAAUCCGCUUCUGAUGGGGUUAAACAUUUGAGCAGUGGAAAGCUAAAUGCCAUUCGAUAUAGGUCUCCGUCAAUGAGGAUGAAGUUCGAACUCCUGUGUUUGAUUUUUCUUGCAAGGAUCCGGUCUGAAGGUAGAGCCCCAUCUGCCAGAUACGUGAUGUAAGGUGUGAGCCAGCAGUCGAGUUGGUCCAGAGCUAGCACCUUCAUCUUCGAAACACUGGGCUGUUCUAAUACCUUCAGAUAUACCGACCCGUUGAAGGAGCUUGCUUCGGUGGUUGCCAACCAGGCUAGGGAAUCUGCGACUGUAUUAUCUGACCGAUCAACCCCCUGACAGUUGUGUGAUGUUAAAUAUAUGAGUUUAUCUUUCACUUCGGCUAGAUAUUUUGCCAUUCAUGCCCCCCGAGCCUCAUACUCUCCUGAUAACUGCUUGACCACUAACUGCAAAUCACUGUAGAUGACUAAAUUCUGCACUUCCAGGCUUCGGGCCAACCGUAUCCCGGUUAAGAUGGCUUCAUACUCUGCCUCGUUGUUGGUGGCUAUAAAUUGAAAUCGAAUUGCUUGUUGGACUUUUAACCCUUCAGGACUCGUCAGAAUGACCCCUGCUCCACUGAUGUCCGAAGUUGACGACCCAUCUACAUACAAAGUCCACGAGGUUUGUCCCUGUCGAGCUUCGGUAACCGUACUUACGUCUGGUUCUGUGAAAGAGUAUUCCACGAUGAAAUCUGCCAAUGCCUGACCCUUGAUUGCCGUUCGGGGAUGAUAUUCUAUAGCAAAUUGCGUUAACUCCAUCGCCCAUGCUGCUAGCCGACCCGACACAUCCGACUUAUGCAAUAUUUUCUUUAACGGUUGAUCCGUAUAUACCACCACCAUCUGACCUUGAAAAUAGUGUCGAAGUUUCCUGCUUGCAAUGAUCAAGGCAUACGCAAAUUUCUCCAGGUUUGGAUAUCUUGUUUCUGCAUCUCGAAGGACAUGGAUGACGUAGUAUACCGGAAACUGUUUUCCUCCCUUAUCUCUCACUAAUGCCGCCCUUACUGCCAUCAGACUUGCAGCCAAGUAUAAGUAUAAAGGCUCCAAAGGGAUCGGUUUCAUCAAUAAUGAUGCCGAAGACAGAUAUUUUUUGAUCCCUUGGAACGCGUCUUCGCAUUCCGAUGUCCACUGAAAACUUUUCUCGUUCUUUUGCCCCUUGAGAGUGUCAAAGAAGGGCAAACAUCUUUCGGCUGAUUUCGACACGAAUCUCCGAAGGGCAGCUAUCCGGCCCAUCAACCUCUGCAUAUCUUUGAAUGUCUUCGGAGAUUUCAUGUCUAAGAUCGCUGAAAUUUUUUCUGGGUUCUCCUCGAUUCCUCUCUUGCUUACUAAAUAACCCAGAAACUUUCCUGAACCCAAACCGAAGGUACAUUUGGUCGGGUUUAGUCUCAGCUUGUGUUUCCUUACUGUCUCGAAGCAGUCUUCUAGGUCCUCCAAAUGAUCCCAGACUGGCAUACUUUUUACGAUCAUGUCGUCCACGUACACUUCCAUACUUCGGCCCAGUUGCUUUCUGAAUACAAAGUUCAUCAUCCGUUGAUAAGUUGCCCCCGCAUUCAGCAAUCCGAAGGUUAUCUUUCGAUACGCAUAUAUGGCCCAAUAAGUGAUGAAACUUGUCUUUAGGAUGUCUUCCUUGUUCAUCGAAAUUUGGUGGUAUCCCGAGAAAGCGUCCAUGAAGCUUAACAUGUCAUACCCCGAAGUGACAUCAAUCAGUUGGUCUAUGUUGGGCAGAGGGUAGAAAUCUUUUGGGCAUGCCUUAUUCAGAUCUGUGUAGUCGAUGCACAACCUCCACUCCCCAGUUUGCUUCUGAACCAAUACCACAUUUGUCAGCCAUUCGGGGUAGUCAAUCUCAAAAAUGAAUCCUGCCUCCAACAGUUUAACGAUCUCUUCAUCUAUGAUCAUCUGCCUUUCCGGGGCGAAAAUCCUUCUUUUCUGUAUCACUAGUUUUCUCUUCGGGUCCGUAUGCAGCCUAUGUGGCGCUACCGACUCACUUACCCCUAGCAUAUCGCUAGGCUCCCAUGCAAAGAUAUCGGCAUACACUCGAAGUAGGUCCACCAGUCCUAUUCGCAGCGGUUCUUUUAAUCCCGCCCCGAUCUUGAUCAAUUUUUCUAUGUUUCCGGGGAUCAAUUCUACAUCUUCCGUCUCCUCUACAGGCAGGGCCAUUGGUUCAGUGAAUGGCUCUAUCUCAAUGGCCAUUGUCUGUUUCUGUUUGCUGACCCCAACCCCUGAGGAAAUAAAGGUAUUCCGAUAGCAUCUUCGGGCAAUGUCAAGAUCAACUUUUACCUCCCCAAUCUCGUUCGGUGUCGAAAACUUGAUUUUGAAGUCUGGUAUAGACGUUACUGCUUGUAGUGCUGCUAAUGUCGAUCUCCCCAAGAUAGCGUUGUAUGCCGAGUCCACCUGUACCACAAAAAAUCUGACCAGAACUUUUGACUGUUGGGGGGCUGUGCCGAACCUGACUGGUAACUCAAUGGUGCCCGAAACAUGCACCGGGUCCCCACUAAAACCGUACAAUGGGCCCUCUCCCCCCAAUUCUAUCUUCUUCCCUUCUAAAUCCUUCCUCUGGUAGGCGUGCAUAUGCAGUAUGUCGACCGAGGAUCCAUUAUCGAUCAUCAUCUUUUUCAUGUCUACUGGCUCGACUUGUGUUGUUAUUACCAGUGCCCAGUCGUGUGGUUCAAUGUGAUCGGUAAGAUAGUCUUCAUCCGAGAAUGAGAUGGUUACUCCUGAGUAGGCCCUGUUCUUUCUAGGCGAUGAACUUGCUAUCGACAACACGGCCUCGAGAUGUCCACUUCUCUUCCUUCCGGUUACACGCUCUAUCGACCCGCCUAAAAUUACAUCAAUGACCCCUCGGGUUUGUGGGUGCGGUUGCGGUUGUGUUUCCCUAGUUGGCCCCCUGUUCUCCUCUCGGGGUGCCUCUGAACCUUCUCAACCGACCACAUACUAUACCAGUUGCCCAUUCUGGACAUUCUUUUCUAACAAAUCUUUCAGAUCAUUACACAUCUCCAUCGUAUGCCCACGACAUUGAUGGUAUGCACAAUAUUUGUCCCGACCUCUCUUUCCAGGCUUCGGGAUUGCUGGGCUUGGCUCGAAGAAAGGUUUGUUCCGCAUUUCUUCCAAAAUUUUAGCCCGGUCAAUGUUGAGUGUGGUGUAGACUUUGUUGACAUUCUUAUUCAGGAAAGGCGGUCGUCCGCUGCCCAAACCUCCCCCAUUGUAGCUUUUCUUACCAUAAUUGUCAGAUUUCCCCUGAUUAUCCGACUGUUGAAAGUUUUGUUUAUCCCGAUCCUUGGACUUCUCAUAUGUCUCGGAAUGGGGUUUGAAAUUUCCCAUUACCUCUUCUAUUGCUAUGUAUCCUUCGGCUCGGUGGAAGGCUUAUGUCAAGUCUCCUGGUGGGUUGAUCACUAGAUCCUUCAUCAACUUCUUUGAUUUUCCGAUGUCCAAACCCGUAGUGAAGAAUCCCAAAGCUUGUGGGGAAUUCAACUCUGCUACUGACCCCACAGCCUCUCGGAAUCUCUUGACGUAUAGUCCCAGACUCUCGUCUGAUUUCUGCCGAACCUGCAUGAGGGAAGCUGUGAUCUUUCCUCUCCUCUUGUUGCUUCUGAAGCGGGCAUGAAACUUCUCCCGAAGAUCAUUCCAUGAAUUAAUUGACCCCGCCGCCAAGGUCCCCAUCCAUUCUCGGGCGCUCUUCUUCAGAGUGGUCGCGAACAUAUGACACUUGGCAGCAUCCGAAUGCCCGUAGUAUGUCAUCAGCCUAUCAUACCCAUCUGAGUGGUCAUAUGGAUCCCCCAGCCCGUUAUAGGUCUCCAUCGGGGGCAUCUUCUUUUUGGGGUCGGCCGUCACAUGAUUGAUUUCAGGAGAGAAGGGCGACCCUAUGCAAGCCGAAGGUGUUCCCAUCAAAUUCUUCGCCAACAAUAAUAUUUCCAAUUCUGCCACCCUUCGGGCGAGGGGGUCGGACUCCUCCUUACGAGGGGACGAUCGGGGUCUGUCCCUAUCAUAUUCAGGAGUCGCGUCCCUCCUCCUCUGUCCCUAUCUGCCUGGAUGCUCCGACCUUCGUUCUGCCGAACGACUCCUCUUUCUGCUUCGGCCGUCCCUCGAGUGACUUCGGUGUUUGCUCCUUUCCUUUUCUACCUCUCCCCGUCGGGGAGACUGGGAUCUACUCCGAUGCCUACGCCUUUUUGAGGACGCCUCCUGUUCUCCGGCCAUCUUUGUCAUCUGCAGUUCGAGCUCCUCUUGCUGAAGACGUAGGGCCGGCAUGGCGUCUUUGUUCUGCUGCAUCUUUUUCUGCAGAAUAAACUCCCUCUGAUCUCGGCUGCCUUCGCCUCAUUUUUUUCCAUGCACCUCAAGUGAUUCUCAUCCACCUGACUAGCCUGGUUAGGGGUACGCUGACUUUCAUGGAAGAGUUUUUGCCAGAGGGAAGCAGCCGAUUCCUCCUGAUCUCCCUGAAUUCUGGAACCCACUCUAUCCUUGACCGACCCUCUCACCUGGGUGGUCUGGUGUGUUUUCGCUUUUUCCUGGUUAGAAGCAUUGUUCUCCCUGCUCGCCAUAGCCUCUUACCGGAAAAGUCAGUUGUGAUUGAUUAAGCACUAAAACCCCUCCUUCUAGCGCCAAUGUUAACGUCAAGUUUCGUCGGCGCGUCCAAUCACAGAAUCUACGAGCUAGAACCUGCACAAUAACAAAUCACAUAGAAGCUUGACGGCUUGUGCCGCCGGAGGAUAGCUCCAGUGUGAGAAUGAGUACAGGCCAUUCACAAGGUUUAACGAUGGAGACUAAGUGUUUAGUGCUCAAAAGUAGGUAUUACCUGUUAAUUGUAACAUUGGCCUUGUAUUUAUAGUACUCACCACCUUAGAAUCCUUCUCCGAGUCGGAUAAGGACUUCUAGUCAUGGUAGUUACAAUAACUGGGGUCCAACACGAUCUCCUUAAAAGGUGCAAGUGGAAUCUAAUCCAAUCACUACCUUUGGAGUUACCUUAUUCAAUUAUGAUUAGGACUCCAGGCUCUGUGCGUAGGAAAACCCACUGCACAGGCCCAACCCAACAGAACUCCCCAUCGGGUCUGGGCCUCGGCCCAAUAGACUCAAAGACCCAACCCCGAACAUCUUACACCGAGCCCACCAUUCUGAAAUCCUAAUGAACCCAUUAUUGCAUGUGCUCCAAUGAGGAGGAAAUCAUUUUCUUAAACCAAAAUGAAAUACAUGUGAUUAAAUAGGAAUAACAUUAAACAUAUGCAAGGGAAAAAGGAUUACUAUUUUAUUCAAUGAUCUGAUUCAACCAACCCUUGAUUUCCCCUAGAAAUCUAUUUUGGAAAUACUCCAGGAAUAUGACCAAUAUGUAUGGGCUGUCCAGGGAGCCAAAUAUUAGUCAGAUAAUCAAAUGAUUGCCAAAUAACAGAAUUUAUACCAUUAAGAAGCCUCAAGUUUCCACUAUAGUCCAAAUGCAUUUUGUAACUGAGGAAUGGUUAGACUUUUUGAUAGCCAUAUUUAAAUAUCAUAAGUAGCAAAAAAAAUCAAAUUUAGGAAAGAAUCUUUGCUUAGUUUAGCUCGAUCAUCAUGAUCAUCAUCCCUCAAAGAUAUUUGUCUUUUUCAAAUUUAACACUAAUAAUGUGACCAAUUAAGUAGCUAUAAGGCACAAAAAGAAAGACUUACAGACAGUGAUAUAUGUUGGAGCCAAAUGACGAACAAAACAAAAACAUCAUACCAUGUAUUGUCUGAACUUUGAUAAUGUCAAGAGAAUUACUACUAUAUAUAUAUAUAUAUAUUAAGAUUCAUGAAAAAAAUAUGCAUAUAAUAAUAGUAGAAGAGCACUCAGCUGGAUAUAAUAUAUUAAUUAUUCCAAAUCAGGCAAAUUUUGUUUCUGGGUCGCCUAGAUUUGUCAGAAUAGACGAAGCAAUAUCAAAAUUAGCCAUAUAGCUUCAACCUGAGCUAUAAUUAGUAUCUCGAAAAACAAAAUGAUUUGUUAAUUGUUGUUUCAGUAUUACAAAAAUUGAUCCAAAUUCAAAGGGAGAUUGGGCAUACCCUAAAAGAGAAUAGGAUGGGCUCCAACAUAGAGCAUCAAUGAAAUCCUUUUUGAAACCGAAUUUAAUACAGACUAUAAUGCAAUACUGGAAUAUUUACAGUUAUCAAACAAGAGCCCACCAUGGUCCAAGGAUAGCCCACCAUGGACCAUAGAAACGAAGUCAAUCACAGAAGUAAUUUUGAAAAAAGUAGAGUACAUGAUUUGGGAAUCUUACCAUAGAUUUCAACAGAAAGAAGCAAAUCGAAAAAAUUUAUAGUGGACAAGAGAACCACAUCGGCGGAGCAAGCACGGAGGAGGAAGCGGCGGAGCGAAGAGAGAAAACUCCCGAACUUUUUUUAAGU
rnacentral:lncRNA from 1 species